CAGCCGCCACGGUAAUAUGGAGGGCGCGAGCGUUACCCGGAUUUACUGGCGUAAAGGGCGUGUAGGCGGCCUGGGGCGUCCCAUGUGAAAGGCCACGGCUCAACCGUGGAGGAGCGUGGGAUACGCUCAGGCUAGGGGGUGGGAGAGGGUGGUGGAAUUCCCGGAGUAGCGGUGAAAUGCGCAGAUACCGGGAGGAACGCCGAUGGCGAAGGCAGCCACCUGGUCCACUUCUGACGCUGAGGCGCGAAAGCGUGGGGAGCAAACCGGAUUAGAUACCCCUGUAGUCCCUGUCUCUUAUACA
rnacentral:rRNA from 1 species